AACCAACCAAAGAAAACAACAAAGCAUAAAUCGUGUAAUUGAUGGAGAAUUUGAUCAAUUAAAGAAAUUCAAACAGACAUGAGACAGAAGGGGGAAAUAGAGCUGGGUGAGCUGGGUGGGAUAGCAAUAAUUGACACAUCUAUAAAGAGCAGGAAUAAAAAAAAGAAACAUUGGUGAAGACAUUCAUGACAAGACAUAAAUCAUUAGAACCAAGUGUGGAUGGUGAUGACAUAGUAUGACCACGGCUGCCUCCAUGUGAAAGUGAGAAAUGACAAGUGAAUGGAUGUAUGCUAUCACUCAGGAAAUAACUACUAAAAAUGCAUCCAGUGAGCAUCCAUCUACCUCCACAGAAGUGUCUUUUCCUAUGUAGUACUUCCCCAGUUUGCAGUUAAUACUUUCUCCCCCAUGGCAAAUUCAUUCUUGAAUUCCUAAAGGAUGGCCAAAAUUUCAAGCGAGGCUGUCCUUGCAGAAACUGGAAGCAGUUUUGUCCAGGGUUUGUUAAAAAUAAGCUACUGUGUUAAUUUCCCAGGAACUGCUUCUGGGCAUCAACUCACAGUACCUGUCCUUGUUAUGGACACGCUGCUCUUGCAGCUCACCUAUCACCCCAAGACUCAAAAUGAUAGGAGUGCCCAUUAUAUUUACCAGACUACAAAAGUCCUUUGGAGAGUUUGUGGUAUGUACAGCUCUGGAUUGAAAUAAAAAUGUUACUUCAUUAGGUUGAUGAUGCUGUGGGUGUUUGUAGAUAUGAUGCUUUUCAAACCUGCUAACUCUCUGAUUAAGCUGUGGCCUUAUCUUUGAGAGCCUCUUUUCAGCUGAUGAUAGUUUGUGAGGCUUCAUUGAUUUCGCUCCUUUUUGUGACUUAUUCCAGUUCAUCCUGACUGAAUAUCUUUUUUGAAAAUUGUAAUGUUGUGUUCCUCCCUUCUGUGAUCAAGUGACAAGGGACUUAUUUUUUUCUUCCUCUCCCCAAGAUAAGAAGCAAAAGGAGUAACCAAACUAUCUCUCUCUGAUCAACAUCACUGACCUGUCUGAGUCACACUCCUGACUCACAAAAAUUUGUCUUACAAAGAAUAAGAGCAGACCCUCCCUGAUCUCAUCAGUGCUGGGUAAUUUUCUUAAGAAAAAAAAAAAAAAAAAAGGUCUCUUAGCAAUGCUAGUUCCAAGUCCUUUGGAUAAGAAAAUAGUUCAGUUAAGUUUUAGGCUCCUUCAGCAAACAUUAGCAAUUCUGCCCCCUGGCAGUUUUUCAAGAUGGGUUUGAAGCAUUUAAGAGUCAUUAGAGGUAACAGUUCCCAUUCUGCAUUUCUUUCAGAAGAGAUGCACUACCUUGUUUACACUACCUUAGUCAAGAAUUUAUCAUUCAAAUAAUAAGUGACUACCAGGACAUAGCCGAAUAAAUUAUUUGUUUACUUUGUUGAUCACAUACAGCUCUAAAUCAUCUUGUCUGGUUUCAAGACAUUAAGGAAAUUAUCCCACCUACCUAAAAUUGCUUUUGAAGAAUAUUACUAAUGACCUACUUCACAUGCAUUUUUAAAUAGUUUAAACCUCUGUGCUCAGCCUUGCAAGACUUAUUCAAGAAUAAUCUUUUGCAGAUUACAAAUACAGAUCUGAAGAUUAUCAAGGCCAAAAUUUGGAUAUCUAUGAAAAGGUGUGGCUAUAAAAUAUCCGGUAUGAAAGCUUCAAAAGAAAUCACUCUCCAUGCCCAAAAUACAUCAAAGAAGCAUGGUGAUCUGAAGCCUCAUAAUGUAUGGCAUUUUCAUCAGCGUUACAGGGAUCAGCAAGUGUUUUUAAAAAUGGAAAUCACCAGGCAAGUCAAACUUAUUUUGUUGUUCAUCUUCCCCACUUUUUACCUAUGACCCACUGGGUGGAAAGGAUGAACAACAUUUCUGAGUGCUCAUCUCUUUAAUGAAGUGGUGGGAGGGAGGAAGGAAGAAAAUUAAAUAAUGAAGUCCUGGUUCCACACUCCCUUACUCAGCUAGCACUUUGAAUAUGUUGACCUAUUGGAGUAUAAAGAUUUAGAAAGACAUUUAUUAAUUUUUAAGAGUAAGGGAAAAUUAGAGAGGUAAUGGAUCUCAAGCAGCUCCUGAGUCAUUGUGCCUUAGAUAUUCAUUAGUGGACUGGUGCAAUCCAGCCAUCUCCUAUUUUUCAAGGCUGCCUUUAGAGGAACUUUAUCAGUCUUCAGGAAUUAAAAACUAACUGAACAAAAAGUACAAAUAAUUAAUCAUAUAAAAUGCAUUCACCUGUGUUCCAAUUACUUUAGUUUGUAUUUUGAACCAUCAAUGAAAUAAGAGGCGUGAUCCAUGCAAAUGUAUCUAAAUUAUAUAUCAAAAAGAAUUUCUUAGUGUUUAAGACAAAUAUUUCAUUUGUAUACCAUAAUCUGUGUAGUAUGGUAUGUUUCCACUUGGCUUUAGUGACACAAGUUUUGGGGUAUUAUAAUGAUGAUGAUGAUGAUGAUGAUGAUUUGUUUUUAAACAUGACUCAUGAGGUUUCUUCUGCAUGCUGGUUAUAUAAUGUUUCUUCCUUCAUGAUAGUGACUAUCUGUUUUCUACUUUUGGCUUACUUUUCUAUUGUUAUUUCUAAAUUGUGUUCAUUUAGCUGAUGACUGGAGGAUCUGUUUAAUUAAUCCAAUAAUUAAAGAAUACUAAUAAUUAAGAAGUUGUCAUAUUUGCUGUAUAUUAAAUGUCUUAGGAGAAAUAA